GAUGAACGCUGGCGGCGUGCCUAAUACAUGCAAGUCGAACGAGUUNNGAUUAUUGAAAGGUGCUUGCAUCUUGAUUUAAUUUUGAACGAGUGGCGGACGGGUGAGUAACACGUGGGUAACCUGCCCUUAAGUGGGGGAUAACAUUUGGAAACAGAUGCUAAUACCGCAUAAAUCCAGGAACCGCAUGGUUCUUGGCUGAAAGAUGGCGUAAGCUAUCGCUUUUGGAUGGACCCGCGGCGUAUUAGCUAGUUGGUGAGGUAACGGCUCACCAAGGCAAUGAUACGUAGCCGAACUGAGAGGUUGAUCGGCCACAUUGGGACUGAGACACGGCCCAAACUCCUACGGGAGGCAGCAGUAGGGAAUCUUCCACAAUGGACGCAAGUCUGAUGGAGCAACGCCGCGUGAGUGAAGAAGGCUUUCGGGUCGUAAAACUCUGUUGUUGGAGAAGAAUGGUCGGCAGAGUAACUGUUGUCGGCGUGACGGUAUCCAACCAGAAAGCCACGGCUAACUACGUGCCAGCAGCCGCGGUAAUACGUAGGUGGCAAGCGUUAUCCGGAUUUAUUGGGCGUAAAGCGAGCGCAGGCGGUUUUUUAAGUCUGAUGUGAAAGCCCUCGGCUUAACCGAGGAAGUGCAUCGGAAACUGGGAAACUUGAGUGCAGAAGAGGACAGUGGAACUCCAUGUGUAGCGGUGAAAUGCGUAGAUAUAUGGAAGAACACCAGUGGCGAAGACGGCUGUCUGGUCUGUAACUGACGCUGAGGCUCGAAAGCAUGGGUAGCGAACAGG
rnacentral:rRNA from 2 species